rnacentral:rRNA from 1 species
CCUACGGGAGGCAGCAGUGAGGAAUAUUGGUCAAUGGGCGGGAGCCUGAACCAGCCAAGCCGCGUGAGGGAAGAAGGUACAGCGUAUCGUAAACCUCUUUUGUCAGGGAACAAAGGCGGGGACUAGUCCCCGGAUGAGGGUACCUGAAGAAAAAGCAUCGGCUAACUCCGUGCCAGCAGCCGCGGUAAUACGUAGGGGGCAAGCGUUAUCCGGAUUCACUGGGCGUAAAGGGAGCGCAGGCGGCAUGGCAAGUCUGAUGUGAAAACCCGGGGCCCAACCCCGGGAGUGCAUUGGAAACUGCCAGG